CGGACGGGUGAGUAACGCGUGAGAAUCUGCCCUCAGGAGGGGGAUAACAGUUUGAAACGACUGCUAAUACCCCACAUGCCGAAAGGUGAAACGAAUUUCGCCUGGGGAUGAGCUCGCGUCUGAUUAGCUUGUUGGUGGGGUAAAGGCCUACCAAGGCUUUGAUCAGUAGCUGGUCUGAGAGGACGAUCAGCCACACUGGGACUGAGACACGGCCCAGACUCCUACGGGAGGCAGCAGUGGGGAAUUUUCCGCAAUGGGCGAAAGCCUGACGGAGCAACGCCGCGUGAGGGAUGAAGGCCUUUGGGCUGUAAACCUCUUUUCUCAAGGAAGAAGAUCUGACGGUACUUGAGGAAUAAGCCACGGCUAAUUCCGUGCCAGCAGCCGCGGUAAUACGGGAGUGGCAAGCGUUAUCCGGAAUUAUUGGGCGUAAAGCGUCCGCAGGCGGCCGUCUAAGUCUGUCGUUAAAUCGUGGAGCUUAACUCCAUCACGGCAAUGGAAACUGUUCGGCUUGAGUGUGGUAGGGGCAGAGGGAAUUUCCGGUGUAGCGGUGAAACGCGUAGAUAUCGGGAAGAACACCAGUGGCGAAAGCGCUCUGCUAGGCCAUUACUGACGCUCAUGGACGAAAGCCAGGGGAGCGAAUGGGAUUAGAUACCCCAGUAGUC
rnacentral:rRNA from 1 species